CUCAGGAUGUAAUACAAGAUGGAGGCUUGAUUUCACAACCAAAACUUUCCAGAGAAUACAGCGAUAGAUGUUGGAGGUCCCUAGUCUAGCACAACAUCUUCUAAAAGAAAAUGAAACUUUUAAAAGUUAACUACCGACAGGGUAGACAGAAAAGAAAAUAAACAGUUUAAAAAUACCUGAGGAAGAGCCUCUCAUUCCUAUGCAACUGAUUCGUCCACCAUGGAGAUUAGUUCGAUUAUUGUCCAAUGGAGUAGAACCCCUUGGCUGGGGUAGGGGAAGGAGGAGACCGCAAGCUGGCUGUGCGAAGACCCUUGAGCCACGCGUCCCAGCCCCAGCAUGAAGCAGGACCCAGACCUCUGGUUUAAUUCAACACAUGAAACAAUUUC
rnacentral:lncRNA from 1 species